AGUGGGCGGGGCUAGGGCGCGGCGCCUGCGCCUUGGAGCCGGGCUCUUCUGCAGCGUCUCAGCCGCAGCCCUGUCUCUAGCCCUGGAAAGGCAGUUUAGAGUGAGAAUGGGUACGUUUUACAUUACUCUGAGCCCGCACGCCUUGUCUCUGGGUCGUGACAAUGUUAGUAACAGCGGACGUGCCUAACGUUCCAGAAUAAUCUAGUGGUCCUGAGGAGACAGAGGUCUUUUCUGAGAGAGUUAAGAGGCAGUAGGGAGUCCAUUUGGAGUCUUGGCCACAGGAUUUGGGAGGAGUCCCCUCGCAGGUUCUCACAUGACAAAUAUCUGCCAUUGCACGGAUAUUACAAUCCCCAAAGGGAGCCUCGGCUUAGAGAACUGUAAGGUUCUUCAUUUCUGUAAUUCCCUGGCCCCAGCGGAGAAGAGAUACUCAACUUUUGUUCAAAGGGGGUGUGUAGUAUACGUGGAAAAGUGUCCCAACCGUCUCUAAGACGGACUAAAUGAGCUCACUUAUGGUGAUUCACUAAAUGAUAUACACUAAGGUACUUUUCUACAUCAGCACGGUAACUCCCAAAGGGGUGCGUGUGCGUUGCAAUAGCGGUGGGCACUAGGUUCAUUAGUAGCUAUAAAAAACAUUCUGGGUAGGAGGAAAUGGAGAUAGCCAGCACAGGCUUGCUGGAGUGUGGUGCUGGGCUUAAGUAAACAGCGAACAGAAAAUGCAGUGGGCUCCUGGUGGGAGGUACAGAGUGUGAAAUUGGCACUAGUUCUGAAGUACAUCAGAAGUGAAGUACUCCCAGAGAGAUAACAGAACUCUGCAUCGAAGAGGACUGGGAUAGUGAAGAAGAAUACCUAACAGGCCUUUGUGAGGUGGGAUGCGCUACCAGCUGCUCUGCCUCUGCAAGUCCCUCAACUGGUCUGUUUACCUCAUGGCUUCAGGAAAGUAAAGGCACUUUAGCUGUUACCGGCCCCUCCCCACAGAACCGUCGCGCCCCGUACACUUGCUCUGCAUCCAGAAGAAGUAGCUGUCUUUGACUGGACAUCAGUGUCUGGGGGAGUGAACGCAAGAGAGAUCAGAGCUCUUGGCUGGGCCCAGCUAUGGCGUGACCCACCUGACACCUCCUUCCUCUCAUUGGUAAAGCCGGGGCACUGAUGUCUACCUACCUCGUAUGGAUUAAAUAAGCCAACAGGAAAAGUCUAAGUGAGGACACUUCUAAGAGUCAACUUCUGUCACACUGGGGUCUGCUCAAAGCUAUGGGGCCUUUAAAUAUCUAUUUAACAUA